rnacentral:rRNA from 1 species
GACGAACUGUCCUAACGUUGUUCGGAAUCACUGGGCUUAAAGGGCGCGUAGGCGGUCCGACAAGUCAGGGGUGAAAUCCUGCAGCUUAACUGCAGAAGUGCCUUUGAUACUGUCGGUCUGGAGGGAGAUAGGGGUGUGCGGAACUCACAGUGGAGCGGUGAAAUGCGUUGAUAUUGUGAGGAACGCCGGAGGCGAAAGCGGCGCACUGGAUCUCUUCUGACGCUGAGGCGCGAAAGCUAGGGGGAGCAAACGGG